rnacentral:lncRNA from 1 species
GUGGAUUGGAAUUCCCAAGUAGGAGCUUGGGGAGUGGAUGUAGGUACAAGGUUGGCACCGAACCACUAUAAAUCCUUUUGUUUGUGGUGUGCAUAAUUGCUUCUCUUUAACUCUUCAUUAUUUCCUUGCAUUCUUGCUUUUGGCAAUUAGUCUUGAAUUAAGUUUAUUCUCCUCAUUCAUUUAGCUAUUGACGAACAUUUUUCAUAAGUCAUU